UGGGGAAUAUUGGACAAUGGGCGAAAGCCUGAUCCAGCCAUGCCGCGUGUGUGAAGAAGGUCUUCGGAUUGUAAAGCACUUUAAGUUGGGAGGAAGGGCAUUUACCUAAUACGUAAGUGUUUUGACGUUACCGACAGAAUAAGCACCGGCUAACUCUGUGCCAGCAGCCGCGGUAAUACAGAGGGUGCAAGCGCUAAUCGGAAUUACUGGGCGUAAAGCGCGCGUAGGUGGUUUGUUAAGUUGGAUGUGAAAUCCCCCGGGCUCAACCUGGGAACUGCAUUCAAAACUGACAAGCUAGAGUAUGGUAGAGGGUGGUGGAAUUUCCUGUGUAGCGGUGAAAUGCGUAGAUAUAGGAAGGAACACCAGUGGCGAAGGCGACCACCUGGACUGAUACUGACACUGGGUGCGAAAGCGUGGGGGAGCAAAACAGGAUUUAGAUACCCCUGGUAGUCCACGCCCGUAAAACGAUGUCAACUAGCCGUUGGGAGCCUUGAGCUCUUAGUGGCGCAGCUAACGCAUUAAGUUGACCGCCUGGGGAGUACGGCCGCAAGGUUAAAAACUCAAAGAAUUGACGGGGGUCAUAGCUGUUUCCUG
rnacentral:rRNA from 1 species